rnacentral:rRNA from 1 species
GAUAACUGUGGUAAUUCUAGAGCUAAUACAUGCACCAAAGCUCCGAUUUUGACGAGCGCAUCUAUUAGACUAAAACCAAUCGGGCUUACGGCUCGUGUUUUGGUGACUCUGAAUAGCUACAGCUGAUCGCAUGGUCAAGUACCGGCGACGUAUCUAUCAAGUAUCUGCCUUAUCAACUUUCGAUGGUAGUUUAUGUGCCUACCAUGGUUGUUACGGGUAACGGAGAAUAAGGGUUCGACUCCGGAGAGGGAGCCUGAGAAACGGCUACCACAUCCAAGGAAGGCAGCAGGCGCGCAAAUUACCCACUCUCGGCAUGAGGAGGUAGUGACGAAAAAUAACGAGACCGUUCUCAAUGAGGCCGGUUAUCGGAAUGAGUACAAUUUAAACCUGUUAACGAGGAUCUAUGAGAGGGCAAGUCUGGUGCCAGCAGCCGCGGUAAUUCCAGCUCUCAAAGUGUAUAUCGUCAUUGCUGCGGUUAAAAAGCUCGUAGUUGGAUCUGCGCUUGAGGACUCGGUCCACCAUUUUGGUGCUGAACUGGGCUCCUCGGCUACAAUUGUGCUGGUUUUCCCUACGUUGCCUUUACCGGUCGCGUAGGGUGGCUAGCGAGUUUACUUUGAAAAAAUUAGAGUGCUUAAAGCGGGCUUUAAGUCUGAAUAUUUGUGCAUGGAAUAAUAGAAUAGGAUCUCGGUUCUAUUUUGUUGGUUUUCUGAUCUGAGAUAAUGGUUAAGAGGGACAGACGGGGGCAUUCGUAUCGCUGCGUGAGAGGUGAAAUUCUUGGACCGUAGCGAGACGCCCGACUGCGAAAGCAUUUGCCAAGAUGUCUCAUAUCAGACGAAGUCAGAGUUCGAAGCAA